AUAUAGUAUAAAACAUAAUACAUUCAAUUUCGACUUGAAAAAAAAUAAAUAAUUAUUUAUAUU
rnacentral:tRNA from 1 species